rnacentral:sRNA from 1 species
GCCGGGCGAUGGUGGCGCACGCCUUUAAUCUCAGCACUCGGGAGGCAGAGGCAGGCGGAUCUCUGUGAGUUCGAGACCAGCCUGGUCUACAGAGCGAGUUCCAGGACAGGCUCCAAAGCCACAGAGAAACCCUGUCUCGAAAAAAACAAAAAAAAAAAAAGACAGGGUUUCUUUAUGUAGCCUUGGCUGUCCUGGAACUAGCUCUGUAGACCAGGCUGGCCUCAAACUCAAGAGAUCGCCUGCCUCU